CCUACGGGAGGCAGCAGUGAGGAAUAUUGGUCAAUGGGCGUAAGCCUGAACCAGGCAAGUCGCGGGAGGGAUGAAGGUUCUAUGGAUCGUAAACCUCUUUUAUAAGGGAAUAAAGUGUGGGACGUGUCCGGUUUUGUAUGUACCUUAUGAAUAAGGAUCGGCUAACUCCGUACCAGCAGCCGCGGUAAUACGGAGGAUCCGAGCGUUAUCCGGAUUUAUUGGGUUUAAAGGGAGCGUAGGCGGCCUUUUAAGGCAGCUGUGAAAGUCUGUGGCUCAACCAUAGAAUUGCCGUUGAAACUGGGAGGCUUGAGUAUGUUUGCGGCAGGCGGAAUGCGUGGUGUAGCUG
rnacentral:rRNA from 1 species